rnacentral:lncRNA from 1 species
UUUUUUUCUUUCUUUUUUCUUUAAAUUCUAAAAGGUAUGAAUGAGGAAAGGAAAAAUAAAAAAUAAAAAAGCUCUAGAAGUGGACUUAAAGCACAUGAAUUAGCUAGUAGGCCUGCUAUUAGAACACAAAGUGGCCCCAGCCCACAUGUAUGAGAGCUCUUAGGUAAAGAAGUUGUAACCUGGUAUUCUACAGGUAAUCUGGUUUUGUUUAGUCCAAAGAAUACUUCUAAUAUUCUGUGAAUGAGCUAGCAUUCAGGACAUUUCAUCUUUUAAAAGAUUAGUAUUUUAAUGCCUUCUGAAAAUCUAGAAACUUUCAGCUUUCCCAGUGGAGGUAAGUAUCCUCUGGUAAGUUACAGUCCUCCCCACUCACUAUCACAUCGCUCAGGACCCAAUUCCUCUCUCACUGCUUCUGUCUUUUAGAGUAUCAAUUCCUGCUUUAUUGAUAUAAAUUUUUCAAUUCACAAACUUGCACAACAAAUUUGCAAGUAGUUUGGUUAGAAUCGGUUCUGAUAUCAGCAACAUGGCACACCUAAGAAAAAAACUGAUCCUUUGUCCUGCAGCCAACUCACCAAUGCCCUACCCUAAAGACAAAUUCCUUUCAACCCUUCACUGCUUUUUCCUGUAAUAUGACCUCACUAGGAACCAUUCCAAUCCAUCAGACCAGAGUGGAGAGAAAGGAAUCAGGUUCCGAAUUCUAUUUUCCCAGGAGGCUCCUGUGCCUCUAAGUAAAUUUAUGGACGCAUGCUAAGAGAUAACUGAAAGGAAGUUAUGGCAUGUCUAUUUGUCAACAGUAUUCCGAAACCUAAAUCUUAUUCUGAAAAAAAAAAAAAAAAAAAAAAAAAAAAGUUUGCAUUUAGGCAAUUCGAGUGUUUAUUGGUAGUCUAGAGCAUCUCUUCAUGAUGUAGCUAAAAUAAAAUCUGCCAUGGGUUCUUUUCGGUUAUAAUAUUGCAAAUGAUUCAGCAUAAUAAAAGUUAUAUUUUUAUAACUACUGUCUGACAACUUGCCAAACAAUAAUGGAGAAAAGGCUACAGUACAAAUGCAUUUAAUAUCCUAAUAACCUAGCAAGAAGUACUAAACUUGGCAUGUUAGAAAAGGAAGAAUAUAAGGAUACUAAAUGCUUAAUUUCUCUCCAAAAACACACAAAUUAAGAUGACUUCAUAAAAACCUGAAUCAAUCAUAAUAAACAUACAAGAAAAAUGGAACCAAUACUUGACCAUCAACAGACCAGACCACAUCAAUCCACCAAAGCACAUAUCUAUCUUGAUGUUAUAGUCUUAUCCACCAUUCGUUGCCUGGGUUUCAGAUCCAAAUAAGUAUGGGUAGUUGCUAUAGUGACAAUAUGCUACUUUUGGAACCAGUAGCUUAGUACUACUGAGUAUUUAUGAGCUUUACAACGUCAGUACUUCCUCCCACACUUGGAAUCUUAGCUCAGACAUUACAACUUCACAAAAUGCAAUUUCAUCCUGCUGUUUAAAAGUCCAUUUUGUUAGUUUAUCAAAAAAUAGUUUAUACUUUAGUAGACAUAAAACUCAAGAGAAAUAAUCUAACUCAACAUGCUAAGAAUAUACACACUCAGUAAAUAUUUGAUUAAUGUUAAAGAUGGCUUAAUAAAGUAAACAAAUCAUGUUAUCACUGGCAUUUACUGUUUUAUUAUAGUAACUAGGCAAGAACCGUAUCUUAUUAAUUCAUGUCUUAGCUUAUUUUCAUUAAUAGUAUCACUACCACUCUUCCCUUAACAUGAAAGUAAAAAUUUUUUUAAAAGCACUAAGAAGCUGGGACGCCUGGGUGGCUCAGCUGUUGGGCGCGUGCCUUCCACCCAGGGCAUGAUCCUGGAGUCCCAGGAUCGAGUCCCACAUCAGGCUCCCUGCAUGGAACCCACCUCUCUCUCUCUCUGUGUCUCUCAUGAAGAAAUAAAAUCUUAAAAAAAAAAAAAAAAAA